rnacentral:rRNA from 1 species
AAGUGCGAAUGCUGACGUGAGUAACGACAAAACGGGUGAAAAACCCGUUCGCCGAAAGACCAAGGGUUCCAGUCCAACGUUAAUCGGGGCUGGGUGAGUCGACCCCUAAGGCGAGGCCGAAAGGCGUAGUCGAUGGGAAAAUGGUUAAUAUUCCAUUACUUCUGUGUAAUGCGAUGAGAGGACGGAGAAGGCUAAAUCAGCCUGGCGUUGGUUGUCCAGGUGAAAGGAUGUAGGCAUGUAUCUUAGGCAAAUCCGGGGUACUCUAUGCUGAGAUCUGAUAGCAAGCUGUACUUGUACAGCGAAGUGGUUGAUGCCAUGCUUCCAGGAAAAGUCUCUAAGCUUCAGUUACACAGGAAUCGUACCCGAAACCGACACAGGUGGUCAGGUCGAGUAGACCAAGGCGCUUGAGAGAACUCUGCUGAAGGAACUAGGCAAAAUGGUACCGUAACUUCGGGAGAAGGUACGCUGUUGUUGGUGAUGGAACUCGCUUCCUGAGCUGACGACAGCCGCAGAAACCAGGCCGCUGCAACUGUUUAUUAAAAACAUAGCACUCUGCAAACACGAAAGUGGACGUAUAGGGUGUGAUGCCUGCCCGGUGCUGGAAGGUUAAUUGAUGGGGUUAGCGUAAGCGAAGCUCUUGAUCGAAGCCCCAGUAAACGGCGGCCGUAACUAUAACGGUCCUAAGGUAGCGAAAUUCCUUGUCGGGUAAGUUCCGACCUGCACGAAUGGCAUAAUGAUGGCGGCGCUGUCUCCAGCAGAGGCUCAGUGAAAUCGAAAUCGCUGUGAAGAUGCAGUGUACCCGCGGCUAGACGGAAAGACCCCGUGAACCUUUACUGCAGCUUGACACUGAACUUUGACCUUACUUGUGUAGGAUAGGUGGGAGGCUUUGAAGCUGGAACGCUAGUUCCAGUGGAGCCGUCCUUGAAAUACCACCCUGGUAAUGUUGAGGUUCUAACUCUGUCCCGUGAUCCGGGACGAGGACCGUGUCUGGUGGGUAGUUUGACUGGGGCGGUCUCCUCCUAAAGAGUAACGGAGGAGUACGAAGGUGCGCUCAGCGUGGUCGGAAAUCACGCGUAGAGUAUAAAGGCAAAAGCGCGCUUAACUGCGAGACCCACAAGUCGAGCAGGUACGAAAGUAGGUCUUAGUGAUCCGGUGGUUCUGUAUGGAAGGGCCAUCGCUCAACGGAUAAAAGGUACUCUGGGGAUAACAGGCUGAUACCGCCCAAGAGUUCAUAUCGACGGCGGUGUUUGGCACCUCGAUGUCGGCUCAUCUCAUCCUGGGGCUGAAGCAGGUCCCAAGGGUAUGGCUGUUCGCCAUUUAAAGAGGUACGCGAGCUGGGUUUAGAACGUCGUGAGACAGUUCGGUCCCUAUCUACCGUGGGCGCUGGAAAUUUGAGAGGAUCUGCUCCUAGUACGAGAGGACCAGAGUGGACGAACCUCUGGUGUACCGGUUGUGACGCCAGUCGCAUCGCCGGGGAGCUAUGUUCGGAAGGGAUAACCGCUGAAAGCAUCUAAGCGGGAAGCCUACCUCAAGAUAAGAUUUCCCUAGGACUUUAUGUCCUCUAAAGAGCCGUUCGAGACUAGGACGUUGAUAGGUUGGAUGUGGAAGCAUAGUGAUAUGUGAAGCUGACCAAUACUAAUUGCUCGUGAGGCUUGACUAU